UAGGAGAGAAGUGUGUUACUAAAUAAAAUAGUUGUAGCUCCUUUAAUUUGAGAAUCUAGCCCCUGUUCCUAUAUUGAACCUAUCUAAUCUCUGAUUCUUUAGACAGUAACGGGAAGUCAUUCUUAUUUAUUUAGUUUUUUAGCGUGCUAUAGGAAAUUGAUUAGAAAACUUCUUCCUGCCUUCUGUCAUUCAGGUGGGAAUACAGAAGCCUCUGGGCUCUGCAAGGCCACCAUAUCCUGUGGCUUUCCUCCUCCUUACUGCCAUUGCACAUACGCUGGACAGACCCUGAGGCCUGUCUCUUUAAGGUCUCAGUCUGAGUCACCUUCCCUCUAAGAAAAGAAACCUAGACACAUGGCAGCCAUCAUGUCUGAGUCACUCAUGUUUUAUACUGAAACUGAUAAUUCCUAUUAACCGGCGACUUUAAUUUCAAUCCAACAGGAUUUGUUUUCUUCUCAAAGUGUGAGUAAGUUAAAAGGUGCAUCUCUGCUGCCUAGCAGGCUCCCCACGUCGGUUUCCUUGUCUGAUGAUGAAGAUGAAGAGUGGCUUCUUCCUUUUAUUUUCCGAGCUGUGCAAUGGAGAAGACAUUAGAUUCUUGACACAGUUCUUUCUUUUUUUUUUUGAGAUGGAGUCUUGCUGUGUCACCCAGGCUGGAGUGCAGUGGUGCGAUUUCACCUCAUUGCAACUGGGUUCAAGCAGUUUUCCUGCCUCAACCUCCCG
rnacentral:lncRNA from 1 species